UUUCUACUAAAAAGGAUAAUAUUAGCCGUCAUGGAUUCGCCACUUCGCUACUUGCUAUGUUUGAGUUCCGGUCGUUUAACGAACAAUUUUGCACAUGAAA